rnacentral:rRNA from 1 species
UACGUAGGGCGCAAGCGUUGUCCGGAAUUAUUGGGCGUAAAGGGCUCGUAGGCGGCCAACUAAGUCCGACGUGAAAUCCCAAAGCUUAACUUUGGAACUGCGUCGGAUACUGGAUGGCUUGAAUUCGGGAGAGGGAUGCAGAAUUCCAGGUGUAGCGGUGAAAUGCGUAGAGAUGUGGAGGAACACCAGUGGUGAAGGCGGCUUUCUGGUCUGUAACUGACGCUGAGGCGCGAAAGCGUGGGGAGCAAACAGG